rnacentral:rRNA from 1 species
UACAGGGGGUGCAAACGUUGCUCGGAAUUAUUGGGCGUAAAGAGCUCGUAGGCGGCUCGUCGCGUCGACUGUGAAAACUCGGGGCUUAACCCCGGGCUUGCAGUCGAUACGGGCGGGCUAGAGUUCGGUAGGGGAGACUGCAAUUCCUGGUGUAGCGGUGGAAUGCGCAGAUAUCAGGAGGAACACCAAUAGCGAAGGCAGCUCGCUGGGACGUUACUGACACUGAGGCGCGAAAGCGUGGGGAGCGAACAGG